rnacentral:lncRNA from 1 species
UUUUUUGUGACAUAGUCUGUUUAUUAUGAUUAUUUAUUAUUUUAUAACUAGAUCUAUUAUUUUAUGAGAUGACCUCAAAUCCAAAUUUGAGGAAGUGGAAAUAACACCAAAUGAACAGUGUGUUUCGCCCCCUUCCCCAGUGAGCUGCACCUCGACGGCAAUUACUUGCAAUGUUCUGGAGCUCUGGCUCUGCUCAGACCCCUAGCAGAGUAUGCAGAGAUGCAGGGCAAAGGCUGGCCCACCAUAUCCUCACCAGACGCCAGGAAUCCCCCUCAGCUUCUCGGAGUCAGCCACAGAGCAAGUUCAACUUUGAACCCGAUUACAAAGUCAUCUGGAGCUGUAACAGUGAAAACUACUUCAGGGAAGAAUAAGAGAAAGAAAGGAAUCAAGAAAAAAGUUAAAGGUUUGACUGAAGCUGGUCCUUGGUUAGUGAAAUUGCAUUUGGCAGAUAAUGGCAUAGAUGGAAAAGGAAACGAAGGAGAAAAAGGCUUGUUGGAAUUCACUCAGAUUUUAACAUGCCUGAUCAAAUACUCUGCCCACUUAAGGGAAAUUGACCUUGGAAACAAUGGCCUGGGAGAAAGGGCUGCUGCUGACAUACUUGAAGCACUGCGAGCCAGAAAGACAGGUAAACUGCCAGUCUUAAAACUUACAGUCACUCCUCAGAUCUCCUCAGACACCUUCCGAUCUAUUUGGAAAAAUAGCAAGAAAUCUAAUAUUACCCGUAAAAAGAAGAAAAAGGACAAUACGGUGCAGGAAUGAAAAGCAUGGACUGGGGAGUUAGAUGAACAAGAAUUCUUUGUGGAAACCAGCUGCUUUCCAAGUGUGUGACUUUGGGCAAGUCAAUUAACCUCAUUGUGCCUCACUUUCCCUUUAUAUAAGAUACAGAUAAGAAUAGCAUCUAUCUCAUUUGGUUAGCAUUGAAUGAGAGGACACAUGGCAAGCAUUUUAGGUCAAUACUUGUUUCAUAGCACAUGCUCACAAAUAAAUAUUAGUGGCUCUGAUUAUUGCUGUUAUUAUUGUUGAUGUUAGAAUUGAGUGAUUCCAGUUAUUUCUCUUAGCACAGCUACACAAGAAAAAUAGUAAAGAAAAAAAGAUGAAGACUUAGGACCUCUGUAUUUUGAAGUAAAAAAAAAAAUGUCAUUCAUUCUAUGUACAAAUGUAACAAGCACUGGCAAGUUCAUGGAACCAAACUAACUGUGGGGGUGGGGAUGGGUAUAGUAAAUUAUGUGUCCUCUUGAGGAUCUUAGCAUCUAGCUAGGAAGACAAGAUCGUCACACAUUAAAAGUAAACAAUAAUAGAGCAUAAGAGUUGAAAUAAUAUAAGUCAUUAUCGAGGGUAACAAAGGCUAUAGAGUAGUGAGAUCAAUUUAGCAAAUCUCCAGAAUUUAAAUAUCCAAUGUCUGAGGCCUCCUGAGAAAUUAUUCCUGAUUUUAAAAAAAAUUUUGGAAAAAAAAUGGAAAUUUGCCACUGACAUCCACUGGGUGAGAGUGUAAAACCUGUUUCUCUUUAGGGGUCUUUUGGCCAUGUCUAUCAAAAUAAAAAAUACAUAGCUUUUGACCCAGAUAUUCUACUUCUAGAAAUUUAUUUUACAGAUACACUCUCACACUGUGCAAAGAAAUAUACAUGAGGAUAUUCACUGAGGCACUGUUUAUUAUACACUGGAAACAACUAAACGUUCUCAGAGGAUUCUCAGGGAAACAAAUCACAGGAAAUAUAUGUGGUGGAAUACUAUGCAGCCAUCAAGAGGAAUAAUGUAGAUAUGUAAAUGCUUAUACAGAAAGACAAAGUAAUACUGUUAAACAAAAAGAGCAGUCUAGAGAAUAGUAUAUGUGAAAAACUCAUAUUAAAAGUGAAGUGAUGUAAUAUGAGCCAGCAAUUUCACUUCUGAGUAUACACACAAAAGAAUUGAAAGCGGGAUCUUGAAGAGCUAUUUGUAUAUCUAUGUUCAUAGCAGCAUUAUGCACAAUAGUCAAAGGUGGAAGCAACCCAAAUGAAUGGAUAAACAAAAUAUGGUCUAUAUAUACAAUGGAAUAUUAUUCAGCUUUAAAAAGGAAGGAAAUUCUGACACAUGCUACAACAUGGAUGAACCUUCAGGACAUCAUGCUGAGUGAAAUAAACCAGUCACAAAAAGACUAAGACUGUUUGAUUCCACUUAUAUGAGCUAUUGAGAGUAGUCAAACUCAGAAACAGAAAGUAGGAUGGUGGAUGCCAGGGGAAGAGGAGAGGGAAAUGGAGAGUUGUUUAAAGGGUAUAGAGUUUCAGUUUUGGAAGACGAAAAAGUUCUGGAGAUUGGUUGUGUUAACAAUGUGAAUGUACUUAAUACUAUUGAACUGUACACUUAAAAAUGGCUAGGAUGGCAAACUUCACGUUAUGUGUAUUUUACCAAAAUUAAAAAUUUUUUUAAUGA